AAUAAGUUGCCUGAUAAAAGGGCUAUCUUGAUAGGAUAGAUUAUACAAAAGUUUUUGUACUUAUUA
rnacentral:tRNA from 1 species